AAGAUGUUAGUAAAACCAUUAUAUUGCCUUGUCAAGGCAAAGUUGUGAACUAACCAUUCGCACAUCUUA
rnacentral:tRNA from 1 species